rnacentral:lncRNA from 1 species
GGAGCGACUUCCCAUAGUUUUAUCAUUUUUAUUUAGUAGGGUCUUCUUCUGCUCAAUGUAAGAUCGAGCCGAGGUCGUUUGUUUUCACUUCUUUUGUUUUGUUGAAGUCAUUAUUUUUUAUUGAUGAGAUUUUGAUAUUGUGAUGAGUUGAAUUUAUAACUCUUUUGUAGCGUUAUGGAAGUUGGAGUUUUGAGACUAUAUGCCUUGAGUUGCAAUUG